UUGGGGGCGAAAUCAAAAUGGCCAACUAGGCCUUGGAACCACGGAGGACUCUCUUGUGCCUCGAAAAAUUGAAGCUUUCAAGGGAAUACCCGUAAAGAUGGUUGCUGCCGGUGCUGAACAUACAGCUGCUGUUACAGAAGAUGGUGAACUCUAUGGUUGGGGUUGGGGUCGAUAUGGUAAUCUGGGCUUAGGUGACCGAAAUGAUCGCUUGGUUCCAGAAAAAGUUUCAGCCGAUGUGGGAGAAAAGAUGUUCAUUGUUGCAUGUGGUUGGCGUCAUACUAUCUGUGUAUCCUCUUCUGGUGCUUUAUAUACGUAUGGUUGGAGCAAAUAUGGUCAACUAGGACAUGGUGAUUUUGAGGAUCACCUCUCUCCUCAUAAGGUUCAAGCUUUGCAUGGAAGUUUUACUUCUCAGAUAUCAGGUGGUUGGAGACAUACCAUGGCACUUACUUCAGAUGGAAAACUCUAUGGUUGGGGUUGGAACAAGUUCGGACAAGUUGGUGUUGAUGACAAUUGUGAUCAUUGUUCACCUGUUCAAGUAAAAUUUCCACAUGAUCAGAAAGUAAUUCUGAUUUCAUGCGGUUGGAGGCACACACUUGCUGCUACAGAAAGGCAGAAUGUCUUUUCCUGGGGAAGAGGUACAAAUGGUCAGCUAGGUCAUGGGGAGUCCGUUGAUAGGUCUGUCCCAAGGAUUAUAGAAGUGUUAAGUGUUGAUGGAUCAAGUGGACAACAAAUCAGAUCUUCGACGGUUGACCCAUCAGCAGCUGAAAAAUCUUGGGUUUCACCUACGGAGAGAUAUGCUGUUGUUCCAGAUGAAAACCUGCCAAGACAAUCAGUUAUUCCCGAAAGAGGAACUGGAAACGAUGUAAAUGUGCCGGAAAAUGAUGUGAAAAGGAUCCGAUUAUGAGAUUUCUAGCAGUGGAUGGUGGACUGAUAUCUUCUAUUAAAACAAUAGUUGAUAUCUCUUAUCUAAAGUUGCAAAUCUUACAUUUUAUUUUUGGGUUUCAUAACACUUAUCACGAGCAUGGCUUAGCUUUACGUUGUUGUCGUGUAAGGACUGGUUUUGUUUCACUUAAACUUCUAAAGUUAGAAGGAGAAUUACUAUUUAGACGUAUCUCCGAUCGUAACUGAUGGUCAAGUGCUUACAUGAAGUCGCAGUAAAUGUAGUUCUAAUCACCAAGGUGGGUAGUUUUUGAAGCUUAAUAAAUUUUGAUAUUAACAAG
rnacentral:misc_RNA from 1 species